GGCUUGUGUCAGCCGGUUAACAGACACCCAUAAAACCUGGCACUUGGGUUGCACAGGGGACGGAAAUUCCGACGCAGUAGCGGAGACUUGUUGCCACUAUCCUUGACAGGACGCAAUUCAUGGUAUGAAAAGAAUUGGCACG
rnacentral:ncRNA from 2 species